GACGAACGCUGGUGGCGUGCUUAACACAUGCAAGUCGAACGGAAAGGCCCUGCUUGCAGGGUGCUCGAGUGGCGAACGGGUGAGUAACACGUGGGUGAUCUGCCCCUUACUUUGGGAUAAGCCUGGGAAACUGGGUCUAAUACUGGAUAGGACCAUGCUGUAGGUGGUGUGGUGGAAAGAUUAGUUUCGGUAAGGGAUGAGCUCGCGGCCUAUCAGCUUGUUGGUGGGGUAAUGGCCUACCAAGGCGUCGACGGGUAGCCGGCCUGAGAGGGUGGACGGCCACAUUGGGACUGAGAUACGGCCCAGACUCCUACGGGAGGCAGCAGUGGGGAAUAUUGCACAAUGGGCGCAAGCCUGAUGAAGCGACGCCGCGUGGGGGAUGACGGCCUUCGGGUUGUAAACUCCUUUCAGCCAUGACGAAGCCCUUGUGGUGACGGUAGUGGUAGAAGAAGCACCGGCUAACUACGUG
rnacentral:rRNA from 1 species